rnacentral:miRNA from 1 species
AUGUUCUAGGUUAGCUCUUGGAUG